CUAGUUUGCCAAAAAACAGAAGUCAGCUUUUUCCCCAGGGAGAGUUGACAGACACAGAAUUUCAACACAGAGAUAUGAUAGAGCUGAAGACAAACACACACGUACACUGAAGCCACUGCUCUGCACUGAAGUCACGGCAAGGAGGUGGGGAACAAAGUGCACUGCAGUUUCAAGAGGAAAAAUAGCUGAGUACUGCAGAAUACUGCAUGCUUCUGCUGGCCCCACGGGAUGCAGAGGAAUCAUGCUGAUCCAUCACGGUGAUGCCACUGUCCACCACUAUCUCCCACAUCUGUGCUUUUAAAGGUUAAAAAAAUAUAUCAUGGUUUUGAGAAAGGAUACUUUUCCCUCAUCUCAGAGUAGUUGGAAAUUUAUAGAAUCUCUAUACUUGCAGAGGUAAAGGCAGAGAUGAAUCGUUGUUGGACUCCAAAAUUUCUUUAGAGACUUGUCAACUCUGACUGCAGAGGACAAUCUGUAUUCUCCAAAACCUUGAGGAUCUCAACUAGAGGAAGAGGUAACACAGGAUGGGAAGUUCCAUCUUCUCCAAAAAUUCUGCCAGAGCAGGCUUCAGAAAGCAAACAUUUUUAGACAAGGAUAUGGGAACUGUGGGGACACAGCCACCUACCAAGGGCAGAGCUAAGAAUGAUGUCAUGGCCCUGUCCCCUCAGCAGGGCCCACCACCCAGGCAAGUGGUACACAGAGGAGAUGUGCACUGGGAAGGCAGCCAGAGCCCAGUUGAACCCUGGCUUUGUCCUCAAGAGAGGCUCAGCUAUAGAGUACAAAGAACAGUGCUUGAGAUGAUGGUAGGCCAUUAUGCUUCUUCCACAGCAACCAGAACUUACAGCUAGAGAUAAUCUGCAAGAGGUGAUUGCUCCAAUUUCCACCCCCCCCCCGCAUCCUGCCCUGAGCAGCUUUCAGAAACCACUUCUGUUCAUAGAGAGGGGCAACCUGAGGCCACUGGCUCUGGAGGGCUGCAAAGGCACAAGCCCUGGGAGCCAUGCUGCAUGCGUUCUGGAUCUGCCCAGCAUCCCCUCACCUCCCCCAGAUGGAACAGAGCAGGCCCGCACCUUCCAUGUGCAGACAGCUGCACUCAGCUCUGCACCACGUCCCUGCACACACUUCACACCAGAAUGGGCACAGGCUUUAAGUCCUUAAUCUCCAAAGUUUAAUCAAACAAUCUGCAAUAGGUCGUCUUUCAGAGGGGAACUAAAGGCGAUUCCUUAAUUAGAUUCAAGAACUGCAACACUUGAAGUUAAAUCAUGCUUAGAAACAUGGAAAUUGAAAGAUGAUAACUAAUGGGAUUUACAGAUGAUUUCCUUUAAAAGUCAAAAAUUAUUACUGCACACAUGUACCCUAAGGACCUUUCCGUAGGUGUUAAAAAUAUCCCACUUAACAGCAGACAAUGAGAAUAUAUCUACUUAUACGGAAAGAUGAACAACAAAGCCUCUGCCAAGACAUCUUUAAUAAAAAUAAAGAUCCCCAAUUAUAGACUAGAGCCUGCAAUUCCUUUCACUUCCUCCGCCAUUUACAUCUCUGCAGUACUUUUGCAACCAAAGAUACUGUCAUGGCCAGGCAAUACACAGCCACACACCUUAGCCCCAACCUGGGUGACAUUGAUGUGGCAAGAUAGAAGAGAGGACAUCAGGUCUGAACUCAGUGACGGGUAUGUGGAGCACUCACACUGUCAAGUAUUUGUUCCAUUGUACAGUAGCAUAUCACUUCUUCAGUGCAAAUUUAGUAUGGUUUAUAAGAUAUAUGAUCUGAACACAAAUUAGAAGAGAGUCAGGUAGCAAAUUUUGGGCUAAUCUUCAAGUUGUGAAUUUCUCGCAACGAUAGUAAUGAUGCAUAGAAAUUACUGUUUGCAGUUUAACACUACACUACAGUGGGUAGUGUAGUGGUACUCUUCUUCCCAUGCAGUAUCUUUUGUGUGGGCAUUCUACGUGGACUCACUUUGCAAAGCUUUGUGUGCUGUGUGUUUCUUUGCUUACUCAUCACUGCAAGGUGUUAUUCCUUUCCCAACUCUGGUCUGUAGAAGGUCACUCCAAGGGCUAAACUACAUAAGAAAAAAACCAAAGCACCAACAUCAGCAUCUCUACCAGUGCCAGAACUGGGCAACACACCUCUUGUUCUCUUGUUCCAUUGAAGAGCUCAUUCUUUUGCAAGCCUCAUGUGGAAGCUGCCAUGGAUGUCAUCAAAAUUGGGCAAAAGUCCUGCACAAGUAUUGCAUCCCACGUCAAUGAUUGGAAUGACUUUUUUUUAAACAUCUGAAUACAGAGUCUUACAGGGGACUCUACAGAGUUCUGAAGGCAAAUAUUUUCCAUUUCCUUUUGCGAGUUCAUUAACAAUAUUUACCAUGAUUGUCUUGCUCAAUAAAGC
ensembl:lncRNA